rnacentral:rRNA from 1 species
CCAAUAGCGUAUAUUAAAGUUGUUGCGGUUAAAAAGCUCGUAGUUGAAUUUCGGGAUCAGUACGCCGGUCGUGCCACCGGUAUGUACUGGUGUCACUGAUUCCUCCCUCCUGAUGAACCAUCAUGCCAUUCAUUUGGUGUGGCGGGGAAUCAGGACUGUUACUUUGAAAAAAUUAGAGUGUUUAAAGCAGGCUCGCGCUUGAAUACAUUAGCAUGGAAUAAUGAAAUAGGACGUUUGACCUUAUUUUGUUGGUUUCUAGGAUCGACGUAAUGAUUAAUAGGGAUAGUUGGGGGCAUUAGUAUUCAAUUGUCAGAGGUGAAAUUCUUGGAUUUAUUGAAGACUAACUACUGCGAAAGCAUUUGCCAAGGAUGUUUUCAUUAAUCAAGAACGAAAGUUAGGGGAUCGAAGACGAUCAGAUACCGUCGUAGUCUUAACCAUAAACUAUGCCGACUAGGGAUCGGAUGAUGUUAAUUUUUUAAUGACUCAUUCGGCGCCUUACG